rnacentral:rRNA from 1 species
GAGUUUGAUCUUGGCUCAGAGUGAACGCUGGCGGCAGGCCUAACACAUGCAAGUCGAGCGGCAGCACGGGUAGCAAUACCUGGUGGCGAGCGGCGGACGGGUGAGGAAUACAUCGGAAUCUGCCUCGUCGUGGGGGAUAACGUAGGGAAACUUACGCUAAUACCGCAUACGACCGAGAGGUGAAAGCGGGGGAUCGCAAGACCUCGCGCGAUGAGAUGAGCCGAUGUCGGAUUAGCUAGUUGGCGGGGUAAAGGCCCACCAAGGCGACGAUCCGUAGCUGGUCUGAGAGGAUGAUCAGCCACACUGGAACUGAGACACGGUCCAGGACUCCUACGGGAGGCAGCAGUGGGGAAUAUUGGACAAUGGGCGCAGGCCUGAUCCAGCCAUGCCGCGUGGUG